CCUGUUGUGUUCUUCCUCAGGGUGCAACAAUGUGUUCAGGAACGGACACAGAUGAGGGGUGUAGAUGCAAAGACUGUAGACAGUUACAUUGAAGAGGUAGAGCCAAGGCUCACGAGCUGUGGAGACAUAGAAACCACGGACAGUGAUACGUGACGUCCCAAGGCUCAGACUCAGCCGACCUCACGUUUUCUCCAUAGAAGCCAGCGAGGGCAGAAGCGCCGGCAGUGCUGAGCGGGAGUCACGGCUGAGGCAACUGGGAUCAGAUGCAGAAGCCCAUGCUCCGAGGGAAUGGAGGGCAUACAAGGCUGAUAGAAGACCUCCUUGCAGAUCUGGUGCCUCAGAGUGACAGGCCAAUUUCCUCACAUCUCAUAGAGGCCCCUGGGAAGCCUUUCCUUACCAACGGACUAUUAUUGCACACUAAGUGAUGGAAAUGGACAUUAAACAUACUGCUUUGGAUCAGAGGCAAUGAGGUCUGCCAUCUCAGAGGGUGAUAGAGGUAUUCGCUCCUCCGGGAACACUAUCUACUCCACAACAGGGACUCCACCAAUUCACUUCCCGAAUCUUCCUUGACCACGUCAAGUGUUUGGAAAUGGACAUUAAAAAUACAGAUUUUGAUGAGAGGUACCAAAGUUCAUUUAAUAAUACUAGUUAAUAUUUCUAGAGUGAUUUUGGGUGUGUCAGUGUUUUGAGGAGCAUCCUAUGCUUUUUAUAGUGACCUUGGGAGACAAGUGUCUUUAUUAUCCCCAUUUUCUGGAUGAUAACACUGAAGUUCCAAUAAACUGAGAGA